UGAAGAGCAAGUCAUCAGCAAAGGCAGUGACUUUAUACUUUAUAAAGUCACUGCCUUUGCUGAUGACUUGCUCUUCAC